rnacentral:rRNA from 1 species
CAGUCGAGCGAACACUUUGGAAAGAUUCUUCGGAUGAUUUCCUUUGUGACUGAGCGGCGGACGGGUGAGUAACGCGUGGGUAACCUGCCUCAUACAGGGGGAUAACAGUUAGAAAUGACUGCUAACACCGCAUAAGACCACGGUGCCGCAUGGUACAGUGGUAAAAACUCCGGUGGUAUGAGAUGGACCCGCGUCUGAUUAGGUAGUUGGUGGGGUAACGGCCUACCAAGCCGACGAUCAGUAGCCGACCUGAGAGGGUGACCGGCCACAUUGGGACUGAGACACGGCCCAGACUCCUACGGGAGGCAGCAGUGGGGAAUAUUGCACAAUGGAGGAAACUCUGAUGCAGCAACGCCGCGUGAAGGAUGAAGUAUUUCGGUAUGUAAACUUCUAUCAGCAGGGAAGAAAAUGACGGUACCUGACUAAGAAGCCCCGGCUAACUACGUGCCAGCAGCCGCGGUAAUACGUAGGGGGCAAGCGUUAUCCGGAUUUACUGGGUGUAAAGGGAGCGUAGACGGCACGGCAAGCCAGAUGUGAAAGCCCGGGGCUCAACCCCGGGACUGCAUUUGGAACUGCUGAGCUAGAGUGUCGGAGAGGCAAGUGGAAUUCCUAGUGUAGCGGUGAAAUGCGUAGAUAUUAGGAGGAACACCAGUGGCGAAGGCGGCUUGCUGGACGAUGACUGACGUUGAGGCUCGAAAGCGUGNGGAGCAAACAGNAUUAGAUACCCUGGUAGUCCACGCCGU